GUAUAGAGACAUAUUACCAAGGGUUAUAGUGGGCUGUGUGUUGGGUAUAGAGACAUAUUACCAUGGGUUAUAGUGGGCUGUGUAUUGGGUAUAGAGACAUAUUACCAUGGGUUAUAGUGGGCUGUGUGUUGGGUAUAGAGCCAUAUUACCAUGGGUUAUAGUGGGCUAUGUGUUAGGUAUAGAGACAUAUUAACAUGGGUUAUAGUAGGCUGUGUGUCGGGUAUAGAGACGUAUUACCAUCGGUUAUAGUGGGCUGUGUGUUGGGUAUAGAGACAUAUUACCAUGGGUUAUAGUGGGCUGUGUGUUCGGUAUAGAGACAUAUUACCAUGGGUUAUAGUGGGCUGUGUGUUGUGUAUAGAGUCAUAUUACCAUGGGUUAUAGUGGUCUGUGUGUCAGGUAUAGAGACAUAUUACCAUGGGUUAUAGUGUGCUGUGUGUUAGGUAUAGAGACAUUUUACCAUGGGUUAUAGUGGGCUGUGUGUUAGGUAUAGAGACAUAUUACCAUGGGUUAUAGUGGGUUGUGUGUUAGGUAUAGAGACAUAUUAACAUGGGUUAUAGUGGGCUGUGUGUCGGGUAUAGAGACGUAUUACCAUGGGUUAUAGUGGGCUGUGUGUUGGGUAUAGAGACGUAUUACCAUGGGUUAUAGUGGGCUGUGUGUCAGGUAUAGAGACAUAUUAUCAUGGGUUAUAGUGGGCUGUGUGUCGGGUAAAGUGACAAAUUACCAUGGGUUAUAUUGGGCUGUGUGUUAGGUAUAGAGACAUAUUACCAUGGGUUAUAGUGGGCUGUGUGUCAGGUAUAGAGACAUAUUACAUUGGGUUAUAGUGGGCUUUGUGUUGUGUAUAGAGACAUAUUAACAUGGGUUAUAGUGGGCUUUGUAUCGGGUAUAGAGACAUAUUAACAUGGGUUAUAGUGGGCUGUGUGUUAGGUAUAGAGACAUAUUACCAUGGGUUAUAGUAGGCUGUGUGUUGGGUAUAGAGACAUAUUACCAUGGGUUAUAGUGGGCUGUGUGUCGGGUAUAGAGACGUAUUACCAUGGGUUAUAGUGGGCUGUGUGUUGGGUAUAGAGACAUAUUACCAUGGGUUAUAGUGGGCUGUGUGUUGGGUAUAGUGACAUAUUACCAUGGGUUAUAGUGGGCUGUGUAUUGGGUAUAGAGACAUAUUACCAUGGGUUAUAGUGGGCUGUGUGUUAGGUAUAGUGACAUAUACCAUGGGUUAUAGUGGGCUGUGUGUUAAUUAUUGAGACAUAUUACCAUGGGUUAUAGUGGGCUGUGUGUCGGGUAUAAAGACAUAUUACCAUGGGUUAUAGUGGGCUGUGUGUUAGGUAUAGAGACAUAUUACCAUGGGUUAUAGUGGGCUGUGUGUUAGGUGUAGAGACAUAUUACCUUCGGUUAUAGUGGGCUGUGUGUUAGGUGUAGAGACAUAUUACCAUGGGUUAUAGUGAGCUGUGUCUUAGGUAUAGAGACAUAUUACCAUGGGUUAUAGUGGGCUGUGUGUCGGGUAUAGAGACAUAUUACCAUGGGUUAUAGUGGGCUGUGUGUUAGAUUUAGACACAUAUUACAAUGGGUUAUAGUGUGCUGUGUGUUAGGUAUAGGGACUUAUUACCAUGGGUUAUAGUGGGCUGUGUGUCAGGUAUAGAGACAUAUUACCAUGGGUUAUAGUGGGCUGUGUGUUGGGUAUAGAGACAUAUUACCAUGGGUUAUAGUGGGCUGUGUGUCGGGUAUAGAGACAUAUUACCAUGGGUUAUAGUGGGCUGUGUCUUAGGUAUAGAGACAUAUUACCAUGGGUUAUAGUGGGCUGUGUUUUGGAUAUAGAGACAUUUUACCUUCACAUUGAUCUGGUACUCCCUGUAUAUAACUCCACAUUGAUCUGGUACUUCCUGUAUAUAGCUCCACAUUGAUCUGGUACUUCCUGUAUUUUGCUCCAUAUUUUUUUAUUUAUUUCACCUUUAUUUAACCAGGUAGGCAAGUUGAGAACAAGUUCUCAUUUACAAUUCCGACCUGGCCAAGAUAAAGCAAAGCAGUUCGACAACAUACAAAAACACAGAGUUACACAUGGAGUAAAACAACAUACAAUCAAUGAUACAGUAGACAAAAAUAAGACUAUAUACAAUGUGAGCAAAUUAUGUGAGAUAAGGGAGGUAAAGGCAAAAAAGGCCAUGGUGGCAAAGUAAAUAAAGUAUACCAUGUAAAACACUGGAAUGGUAGAUUUAUAAUUUUAAGAAAGUUCAAAGUUAAAAUAUAAAUAAUAUGGUGCAAAGGAGCAAAAUAAUAAAUAAAAUAAAUAAAUACAGUAGGGGUAGUAGUUUGGGCGAAAUUAUAGAUGGGCUAUGUACAGGUGCAGUGAUCUGGGAGCUGCUCUGAUAGCUGGUGCUUAAAGCUAGUGAGGGAGAUAAGUGUUUCCAGUUUCAGAGAUUUUUGUAGUUCGUUCCAGUCAUUGGCAGCAGAGAACUGGAAGGAGAGACGACCAAAGGAGGAGUUGGCUUUAGGGGUGACCAGAGAGAUAUACCUGCUGGAGCGCGUGCUACAGGUGGGUGCUGCUAUGGUGACCAGUGAGCGGAGAUAAGGGGGGACUUUACCUAGCAGGGUCUUGUAGAUGACCUGGAGCCAAUGUGUUUGGCGACGAUUAUGAAGCGAAGGCCAGCCAACGAGAGCGUACAGGUCGCAGUGGUGGGUAGUAUAUGGGGCUUUGGUGACAAAACGGAUGGCACUGUGAUAGACUGCAUCCAGCUUGUUGAGUAGGGUAUUGGAGGCUAUUUUGUAAAUGACAUCACCGAAGUCGAGGAUUGGUAGGAUGGUCAGUUUUACGAGGGUAUGUUUGGCAGCAUGAGUGAAGGAUGCUUUGUUGCGAAAUAGGAAGCCAAUUCUAGAUUUAACUUUGGAUUGGAGAUGAUUGAUGUGAGUCUGGAAGGAGAGUUUACAGUCUAACCAGACACCUAGGUAUUUGUAGUUGUCCACAAAUUCUAAGUCAGAACCGUCCAGAGAAGUGAUGCUGGACAGGCGGGCAGGUGCAGGCAGCGAUCGGUUGAAGAGCAUGCAUUUAGUUUUACUUGUAUUUAGGAGCAGUUGGAGA
rnacentral:lncRNA from 1 species